rnacentral:rRNA from 1 species
CGGACGGGUGAGUAACGCGUAGGAAUCUGCCCAGUAGAGGGGGAUAGCCCGAGGAAACUCGGAUUAAUACCGCAUACGCCCUAAGGGGGAAAGCAGGGGAUCUUCGGACCUUGCGCUAUUGGAUGAGCCUGCGUUGGAUUAGCUAGUUGGUAGGGUAAAGGCCUACCAAGGCGACGAUCCAUAGCUGGUCUGAGAGGAUGAUCAGCCACACUGGGACUGAGACACGGCCCAG